rfam:Bombyx mori DNA, contig: Bm_scaf61_contig29067, strain: p50T/Dazao, build 2, whole genome shotgun sequence.
UUAACUCAUAUUUGUAUGGAAUGGGAACGUUUGCGUACGUUUGCCGCUAGGGGCGCUGUUCCAACUGCAUACAAAUGUAAGUUA